AGCUUAUAAAAUACCCCACCUUCUCCGCUCUUAUUCACAGCCAAAAACACACCCUCUUCUCUCAUUUUUCUCCCUCUCUCUCUAGGAACUCUCUUAGAGGUGGAUCAAGAGGAGAUUUAAAGAUGGAUUUGGAGAUUUGAAGGGUCUAGGGCUCUCCUAUAAGGUGGAGCUUGGAGUGCUUUUUGGCUGAGGUGAGGUUUCUUGUAAGAUUGAUGUUAGGGUUUGGUUUUA
rnacentral:lncRNA from 1 species